GAACAACAGGCUCAACACAUGCACGCGCACGCAUAAGCACAUACACACCAUCGCUCCAGCGUGUUGAUUUAUGGAAACAAUUAUAAUUCUGGUGGAGUCUUUCUGAGCUGAGAAAGUUUGUAGCUACAGUAGAGUGUCUCAUGUUGCAAAAAGCAGACAACAGAAAUGGAGUACUUGUGUAUCCAGCUCUUAUCAACAGGAACAAUGCAAGCAGCAAAUUCAAGUAGUACAGAAGGUCACGACAACAAAGGUUUUUAUAACUUGUGUCUUUAAAGGAUAUUCUGACUGAAGAGUUAUUUAAGAAGCUGCUCUAUUUCACCACUAACUAUUAAGGAAUAACGAUCAGAAUUCUAGAAGAGGGAACAAUCUCAUUUAAGUGAAUCUGUAACUCGUAAAGACAGAAGGCAGGUCGGUGACCUAAGAGCAACAGUCUACUUGAGAUUUAAUUUUCAUUAUGUUGUUCAUGAACACCCAGAACACUGCACUAUAAUGCACAAAUGGAUACUGACAUGGAUCCUGCCAAUUUUGCUCUACAGAUCAUACUUUUACAUUAUCUUUCUAAUGGGCACUAUAUCUUUAGCUUGCAAUGACAUGACUCCAGAGCAAAUGGCUACAAAUGUGAACUGUUCCAGCCCUGAGCGACACACCAGAAGCUAUGAUUAUAUGGAAGGGGGGGAUGUAAGAGUGAGAAGACUUUUCUGUCGAACUCAGUGGUAUAUGAGGAUUGAUAAACGAGGCAAAGUAAAAGGGACAAGAGAAGCAAACAACAACUACAGUAUUCUAGAAAUCCGAACAGUGGCAGUUGGAAUAGUGGCAAUCAAAGGAGUGGAAAGUGAAUACUUUCUGGCAAUGAACAAGUCAGGAAGACUCUAUGGAAAGAAAGUAUGCAAUGAGGACUGCAACUUCAUAGAACUGAUUGAAGAAAACCAUUAUAACACAUAUGCUUCUGCAAAAUGGACACACAAAGGAAAGGAGAUGUUUGUACAUUAAACCACAAAGGGGUUCCCAUGAAAGGUAAAAAAAACUAAGAAAGAACACAGAGCAUCCCACUUUCUUCCUCUGGCAAUAUCCUAAUCACAAAUGAUCUAUACAAAAACUAGUUCCAGCAGGAAGAUUAUUUUUAAGAAGACUAUUUGACCUGUUACCAAGAGAGGCUGGAAUACUACUGAGAAACUGAACAAGCUGGACUUGCGCAUUUUAUCUUUAUUUUUAAAAGACUACAUGAAAAAGAUUUGAAAAUAUACACAAAACCAGAUUUACUAACUAAAAGUUGUAAAAAAUUCUAAAGAGUUGUACAAUCAUUAUCUUAGUCAUGUAACUGGGUAGCUUCAUAAAUAAUUUACCCUGAAGAAUAAGUCAUACUGAUAUCUGAUAAUAUUUUAUUAAAAAACCCUAUCUGCUUCUUAAAUAUGGCUGCUAUAAUAAUAAUAAGCAGAUGAUAAUGUUGUGUAAAAUAUGUCAGACUUUAAGGCUGCUGGAAUGAGUUGUCAGAUUAUCAAGUCAAUAGUAAAUGUGGAGGCUGAGCAGUAUUUUAAAUACUUCCCCAAGAAACUGAUAUCCUAUACAUAAACUAUAUGACCAGAAAAAAAAAUAUAAUCUUGUAAAUGUUUAUUGUUGUAUUCAGAUAAAAAGAGUUAGUUUGGAAAAAUUAUGUUUACUCUAACACAAAAUGUUCCUAUCUAUUAAUGAAAACAAAUACCUAAUGCUGCUCUAAAAGAUGUUUCAAAUAGUGUAUGUAAAAUAAGAAUAGGAUUAAAUAAUGUACUUCAUCUCACUUUUCACAAAUUAACAUUUUAUAUAACGAUGAAGCAAAAAUUCAGACAUAUUAAGGUUUUUUAUGUAACAUAUCCUAUCUUUUGUAUAAUUCCUGUUAGGGCAUACAGCUUUCAAUAUUGUUUUUCCAUUCUUAUACAUGCUUUUUCUGUUGUUACAGCAUUAAACUUUAUCUUAAGUUGUAUUUGAACUUUAUUGUUUUAAGUUAUUUAAAUGUUAUUUAUAAAAAAAAAAUCCUUAUUAAGAUGCAUCUGUUUCAUAUGCUUUUAAUUCUAAAGGAACAACAAAACAGUCUGGCUGAGAUGCAUGAAUUUGUUUCUGUGACCAGACACAAAGACUAGUACACAACCCUGCUGCCAACAUACAUUGGAGAGCAGACAAAAAUGACAGCCUGCAGCAAAUCACACAACAGACAUCUGAAAAGAAACAAUGCAAAAAUGUAAAAAAUCUUUGCCGCAUACUCUUGCUAAUCGAAUUACCAGCAGGCUCAGAGUUACAGCAGGUAAAAGAAGGUUACAGCUUGUCGUGGUUUCGACACAGUUCCAGCAGGUACUGGAACUAAUCCCUCAGAGGUAGAAGCUAUACUCACAGGGUAAAGAAAUACAUAAAAGCCUAUAUGACUAGUUUGAAACAUCAGCUAAAAUCAGUAUGACCUGAUGAAGAAAAGACAUCUCCAUUUUCUAGCUACUGAAGUGCUCAGCUAAGCCCUACACAACUAAUGGAUUAUAUAAUUUAAUUCUGCUCAGUUUGUCUGCAAUUUUUCUAGGUAUUAUGGUAACCAUGCACUUAAAGAUCACAAAAAAAGUAGCUAAACCAGCUGCUAGAUGCCUGAAAUGGAGCCAGGCUAAUUACUAACAGUCUAAAAUGCUUUACUUUUCAUUACAAUUGUCUAGAGUCAAUCAUUUUUUCUUACUUAAGAACCUUUUCUUGUAACAGAACUCACCGAAAAUGGGAAAAAAAUCUCUUUAUCAAUAAUUCUUAAAACCAAAACUUGUUUAACAAGUACUAUAACUUGGAAAUCAUUUAUGAUUUUUGACUUGCUAAUAUCAAACAUCAAAGUGAAGAUGUAAAUGGGUCUCUGCAGAAAAAAUUUGUCAAUACAGCUAUCUCAGUAAACAUUCACUGUGUUUUUUAUCUAUUAUGUGUUCACUGAAAGCAAUAGACUGUACUAUCAAAGAAACUGGUUUGCAAAUCACUGUCUGCACCUUUCUGUGAAUAUAUGAACACUGAAAGUUCACACUCAUAAUCAACAUUAACAUACUAGUGGAAGUUUCUAGAUCUACACUAGGUUAGUUGAAGCUUUGAAAUAAAAAAUAAAAGAACAAAAUAUCACUAAGAUUUGAAGUUUGAAUUCAAAUGUAAAUAUGCACAUUAAUACAUUAAUAUAUAUGCAAAAGGCACUUAAAAUGAAAUCCAGAGACAGAGAAGCUCUUCUAAAGAUCUUUUGGUUAUGUAAUUCAAGAAUAUAGGGAUAAAGCCAAACAAUCCUGAACCCCAGUUGUAGUUCACCCUUACUACUAUAUGCUUUAUCAAAUGGAGUGCUAAAUUACCAUCAUUAUCAGGCUUUAUGUUUUACAGCUCCCAUCUGAAAGUACCAGCACAGUAAGAUCAGAUCAACUCACUUGAGCAAUUUUUAAUGCAGCUUUAAUUUAGAAAAUCUCUUUGGAAAUACAAUAAAUGUAUUUUCAGCUGCCUCCAAAAUAACCUUUUCAGUGCUAAAAACAGAGAAUAAUAAUCAGAAAAUUUACAGUGGUGAUCUACAAUAGCAAGCUAUUAUAAGAUAAAAGAAAAAAGAAUCUAUUAGAUUUUAACAGGUAUUAUUCAAAUAGAUGUCAGAAAUCCUCACAAAAGCCUUCUGUACCAAUGGCAUCACAAUGCAAUCUUAACAUCAGUCAUGCAAUAUUCCAUCUGGGAGGAAAAUAUGUUCAUAUGAAACGAAACAGAUAUACCUGUCUGGUUACAACUCAUUAUUAGCCUUCAUGAUACUAAAGAUUCAAGAAAACCCAAAGUCAGCUAUAAAAGCCAUUCUCAAUUGUUAUUUCUUAGUUUUUCCUUCAGAUGCAUUGGCUUUCAUCUAGCUUUCUUCUUUGUUUACCACAGAUACUACAAAGCAUAGACUGUGGUUUAGAACUGAAAUACAAGCUCCUGUGGUUUAAAUAGCCAUUCUAUUUAGCCACCUUCAAUAACCAUUCACAUUUCCCAGAAACUGUUCCAUUACGCAGGCUCUUUAAAUUUAAUUAACAAGGUUCUACUUACUUAUCUUUUGUAUUAGUGCCGAUAAACACUCUGUGACACAGAAAUGAGCUAAUCUCAUCUGGGGAACCUCACACAAGACUGCAGAAUCUCCAUUCUUGUUGGUUUUCAAGUUCUGACUGGAAAAACUCCUGUGCAAAUUAGUCUAAAAUCAGUGUGGGCCCUACCUUGAGCAGGGGACUGGACAAGACACCCGCAGCACCCUUCCAACCCACAUGAGUCUGUAAUUCCAAGUUAUUUUUCUUAAAAAAACCAUUUAGAGUGCAGUUCAACCUCUUGAACAGCUACACAAAAAACAUUUUCCGUGUUAGGGGAGAACAACACAUUUGCCUCAUAGUUUAUAUAUAAUAGCUUGUGUGUCACUAAAGGUGUGCAAAAUGGUGUAAAUACAUUUCGUAACUCAAUAAAAAAUGACAAUUGGACAAUUUCCAUGACCUUUAAAAGACAUAUUAUACAAUAUGGUCUCACUUUUAAUUCUGUUGCAAGUACUUCAAAACGACUCUGUGCAUAGCAUCUGUAAUCAGAUUACUAAAUGAUUAAUUACCUGAGUAAUUAUUAAAAUACACUUGUCUGUGUUUUAAAUAAGAAAAUAUGUAUAUUUUUGAAUGAGCUGAACCAAAAUGUAAG